rnacentral:rRNA from 1 species
ACGAACGCUGGCGGCGUGCCUAACACAUGCAAGUCAACUUGACUGAAGGAGCAAUCUGACAGUAGAGUGGCGCAAGGGUGCGUAACGCGUAAGUAACUUGCCCAAGGUAAGGAAUAACGUCGAGAAAUCGGCGCUAAUACCACAUAAUGCAGCGGAUCCGCAUGGAUAUGUUGUUAAAGGUUUACCGCCUUGGGAUAGGCUUGCGUCUGAUUAGCUAGUUGGUGUGGUAACGGCACACCAAGGCUACGAUCAGUAACUGGUCUGAGAGGAUGAUCAGUCACACUGGAACUGAGACACGGUCCAGACUCCUACGGGAGGCAGCAGUGAGGAAUAUUGGGCAAUGCUCGAAAGAGUGACCCAGCAACGCCGCGUGGAGGAUGAAGGUAUUCUAUAUCGUAAACUCCUGUGAGAGCAGACGAAAGACAGAUUAUUAAUCUGGAUGACUGUAUGCUCAGAGGAAGCCCCGGCUAACUACGUG